UAGUGAAGCCGUUACAACAUCAGUUUCGAAUCGUGUCAGGUCAGAAAUGAAGCAGCACUAAGAUAUAACUAGUGUGUGUAAUGGCUUUUUUUUAUUU
rnacentral:SRP_RNA from 1 species